rnacentral:ncRNA from 1 species
UAUCGUGAGGUAGUGUCUGAAGAAAGUUGGACACAAAUUCCUGAACUGACGAACAGAAACUAGAUAGAAGGCUGAAUUAGGUUGGAUGAUGAAGUAUCAUAUUACCCGAAACUUAUACAGUAAAUCUAGUAGUU